CAUGCUGCUUUUUGUAAGAGCUGGCUCACAGACAUAUUUGAGUUCCAAUAUAAACUCAGUGGAAGUGGACAGAUUCUGAUGGACACCAAGAUUAAUGCACAACGUUCUCCCUGAAAAUCUGAAAUUCCUGGACACAAAGAUAUUAAGCUUCUGCAAGCUGUCAGCUCGGAUCUUCCUUCACUCCUACAGCAAUUAAAAGAAUCCAUCACUAAAGCUGGCAAAACUCCUGCUGAUUAGAAACUAGGAGAACUGUUACAUUUGCUUGCAUAUGCCUCAAAAGAAAAACAGAAUUUUGAGUUGCUGUGUGCUGAUUUUUGUUGAUGAGGUCUGCAGAGAGUACCUUGGACUUCAUGGCCUGGUUUUCGCCCUGACUUGCAGUGUAAAUAAUAGGACCUUAUAUACAGUACAGGUGAGUGCGUUUGUAAAUGAUGUCCAAGCAAUUCAGUUUUCCAUAAGUUCUGGACAUAUCUCAAGGAGAAUUAAAGCAGAUGGGAGGCACCUGACCACUCUCUGGAGUGGCACAGCAAAGGCUCUGAAUACUUCUGGAAUAUGAGAUUUCAGUUUUUGAUUUGUAAUAAAUUUGCAAAUACUCUUCUGAAAACACGUUUUCACUGUGUCAUUAUGGGUUAGCGAGUGUAGAUUGCUGGGCAAAAAUAAAAACAAUGAAUCCAUUUAAAAUGAAAUCUACAACUCAAGAAAGUGUGUAGAACUUGAAGGGGUCGGAAAUUCUUUCUGAAUCCACAGCAAGUGAGCGAGUGUAACCAGUUACAGGCAUGUGCUGCCCAGUAAAUAGCUGGUUGUAGCUAGGCCACAAAUUCUCACUAACUUAAACUGGAAUAUGAAGAUUCAGACAAUUAGAUGAAUUUUUAAAGUUAGAAAUAAAGAGACCAAACAUGGCACCUCCAUAAUACGUCAUUAGAAUUGUAUUAUUUUGUUAAUUCAUUUUGGAAUAUAGGUUCUUGAUUUAGCCCACUUUUUAGUAUAAGUUAUUAAAUAUCAUUCAGGAUAUCUGACAGGUUAGGAAUAUUUAUAGCUAUUAGUAAUUGCAAGUAAUCAGCAAUGCUUUGUUUUACUAUGAGCAAGCUAGAACUUUUGUUAAAAGAAAUCUGCUGUACUUUCCUAAUUUUCCAUCAACAUCUAUAUUUAAAGCUACUGUAUAUUAUACAGGCAGCAUCUGCAGAUAUAUAACCUCUACUGUAUAUCUCCUCUCAAUUUAUUUAAAACAACGAACCCCUAGAUGAUCUCAGACAGCUCUGAAAACAGGAGAUUUUAACGAAAGCAAUUCUGUCAUCGACAAGAUACACUCUUCUUCACUUUGUAGAAAUCAUGGUGUAAUUCAGUUAAACAUUAUAGAUUGUACACACCUAAUAUACAAGAUAUGCCUAGGAUAAGAAACAAAUUGUGCACAAUGUCAUCAAACUAGUACCAUUUAAGCUAAAUCUUCUGUCAAGGGCCUAUACUGGGGCAUGUUGGGAAAAAAAAUCUUUUGCUUAGUCAUCAGACAUUUUUGGAUUGAAAAUUACUCCAAAUGUCCUCAAAACAUUUGAAAUUAGCAAGCGGACGGGUGCUGAGAGGGACGUGAAACAUAAGUGUAUGGGAUAUGGGGCUGAUUAAUUGGUUUUUUUUCUUUUGGCACUGCAGUGUAAUUUACAAAGUCAAUACAUAAAGAUAAUAGUGUGGUAUAAAAAAGCACAAGUCAAUAUUUAUCAAUCUAAACAUGUUUGUCAGAGAACUUUUAUUUGGCAUAACAUAAUUAGAGUAUAACUAACAAUAUUCUCAUUUGGUGAAAUGCUUCCUUAAAAAUAUUCAUCUCCUUUUUAUAAGUUGUGAAAUCUUCCUAAAUUAUUGUCCUAUCACUUAUUUUUUUAUUGAAUUUUGUGUGGAGUUGAUUCAAUGAACAGACACUAUUUUUACAAAAGUGAAAAAAAUGUGUCUACGAUAUGUAAAUAUGAACGGGAUGCAAAUGGUGUAUUUGUUGAUACAGAAAAUGAUGCACAAGACAAAGCGUUCAACUGUUUUUAAAACUUUUCUUUAAAGUGUGCAGGGCUACACACCAUUUUUUUUUCAAUAAUAAAUAUAGUGUUUCAAUGUUUUUCAUAAUAAUUUCCUUCUCUAUUUUCUUUGAUUGCUGAUUUAUUAUAUUUUAGACUACGGCUAAAAAUAGCUGUAUGUCAUCUCAGUAAUAGAGUGAAGUAACCCCUUGAUAGUUGGGAAUAUGAAACCAAACCCCAGGAUUACUACCCUUCUCUCACCUCUCAUUUCCAUAACAUGCUGACAAAACCAUUUUGUUAAGGCUGAUUGGUUCUAUUUGCAUCAGACACCUCUUCUGCAUAUAGAUUGAUGGGUUUAAUCAGCGAAUCAGGAGUAACGCACAGACAUCAAUCACUGUCACCUAUGUCUCUUUUCCAACUUCUGAUUUUCUGCUUAGAUUCAUCAAGGAAUGUUGAUGUGUAUAGUAGCCGGAAGGUAAGCAAUUUCUGGGAGAGAAAGAAGGCAACUUGUAACCCAGUAGACAUAUUGGCUAUUCACCUUUUGGUUCUGGCUAAUAUUAACAUCCAGCUAUUUUCAUUUAUACUUCCUGCAGUCAUUUCAAGGAAUAUAAUGGCUUCCUGGGCUCAGAAUAUACAACUGCUUUAGUCAAUUAUGGACAAUGUUUGAUGAAUAAUUAACAUUUUUUUCUUACACAUUUAUUUUUAAUUAAGAAGGACUGACCUACUUUUAGUACUACUGGGCAAAGCAUGUACUGUUAAAAUGAAGGCCUCAUCUCCAUUUUAUUACAGUCUCGGUAAUUCAAUGCUUUAGCACAAUACACCAGGUUAAAACAAUUUUAUACACAAUGCAGUGUUCACGAUGUGUGCUUCUGCUGACUCACAUUUUAUAAGUUCUUCUGAACAAAAUAACGUCAUGAGAUACUUGUUUAAGGAGAUGCCUUUUUUAGUCUUUAACAUAAAACGCUGCAAUAAAAGCAAAUGAGCUGCAACAGAUGGGUCCUCACCCUACACAGCUAGUUACUGUUUGAUCAUACAAAAAACCUCGUUGUGGUAGCCAGACUAAUGCUAAACACUGUUUUAUUGUAAUAGGUUGCCUGCUGCAAACAUUUUUUCACUUUAAUGUCUUGUAAAUACACCAUUUUAUUCUAAUGCCAGCCAAUGUUAACUGUUUAUUAACAUUUAUUACUGUUUCACAUUACCAUAAUGGAGAUGAUCAUCCUCACUGACCUUUUACUGAUGUUUGGAAAAUAUUUUUACUCUACAAGUCAAUAAUAUAUUCAUUAUGAGAGUCCUGAAGGCAAUAUCAGCAAAUUUUGUACAUAAUAUGUUUGAGUCUUAUGAAAGAUCAUCAUUAUUUUCUUUGCAUUUACACAUAAAUUAGAUUUUGCAGAAGAUGGGGGUUAAAGAAGUGGACAGAAAACCAAAGAGUUGCACCACUUGCUCAGUGUCAAGUGAAUUGCUUAACCAGCCUGUGUUCCUGUUUUAUUAAUAUGCACUCCUAUGAAACAAUCACAUUAGUCACAAUACCGUAAAGUGGCACUCACCCUAUAGGACACUACGUUAAAAAAAAGAAAAUUGUAUCUUUCUCGGACAUGUGCUAUCCAUCGAUGGUCUUAUGUUUUAUGUUAAAUUCAGUGUUACAGCAGACAGGUGUCUUUCUUGGGCAUAAGGCAGGAACCAGUUUAUUCCAUGCCAAGGUAAACACAAUAUGCCAGUGCUGAAGUGUUAAUUGACCUGACUGCAUAUGUUUGGAAGGAAACCAGAGUCCUCAGUACAUUUUCUCCAGGGAAACUCACACAAGCAUGAUAAAAAAAAAAA